UGUGUGUGUGUGUGUGUGUGUGUGUGUGAGAGAGAGAGAGAGAGAGAGAGAGAGAGGUGUUGUGUAAAUGAAUGUGAUAUGUGGAUGUUUGCACACACACACACACACACACACAAAUG